AACGAACGCUGGCGGCAUGCCUAACACGUGCAAGUCGAACGAGACCUUCGGGUCUAGUGGCGCACGGGUGCGUAACGCGUGGGAACCUGCCCUUAGGUUCGGAAUAACUCCCCGAAAGGGGUGCUAAUACCGGAUAAUGUCUUCGGACCAAAGAUUUAUCGCCUUUGGAUGGGCCCGCGUUGGAUUAGCUAGUUGGUAGGGUAAAAGCCUACCAAGGCGACGAUCCAUAGCUGGUCUGAGAGGAUGAUCAGCCACACUGGGACUGAGACACGGCUCAGACUCCUACGGGAGGCAGCAGUGGGGAAUAUUGGACAAUGGGCGAAAGCCUGAUCCAGCAAUGCCGCGUGAGUGAUGAAGGCCUUAGGGUUGUAAAGCUCUUUUACCCGGGAUGAUAAUGACAGUACCGGGAGAAUAAGCUCCGGCUAACUCCGUG
rnacentral:rRNA from 1 species